GUCAGUGAUGUUAGCUCCGGAGAUUUUGGUAACAGAUGGGAGUUUUAUUAGCUGGUAUACUGAGAUCCACAAGGAUGGUAUACCUUCUCUAUAAUGUGAGAAUGAUGUACACCUUUUCCAACUUUCCAAGUUCCAGCAAAGUUUGCUGAUCUGAUAUACUUUCUAAGUUUAUCUACAAAGAAGAUCUUUAACAAGCAAUUUGAAUACUGAAUAUCAUGUGUAGAAAGCAUCGGCCACCUACAUGGUCGACGUUUGAAAUUGUGCUCUUCUAGUGGUACUUUUGUUUAAUUCCAAGUGUCCUCAGGGAGAAAGGACCGUGGAAAGGAAAAGACUACGUGAAAAAGAAGCUGGCUACUUCUUCCCAAGAGCUAAGAAUAUUCUCUUGGCCUAUGGGAUAACAGAGACGUGUUCUUUGCUAACAUACAUGACUCCGUAUGACCCACAUUUCCAUUUUUCCUACCAGCCCCUUCAUUUUCAUGUUGGAACAUAUCUCAAUUAAGUUCGAAGACCAAGAGGCAUGUGUCGGCAAA